CAAGUAGGACGCACAGUUUAUACCGUAGCUUGCUACACCAUAGACUGUGAGUUGCGAACGGGUGAGUAACGCGUAGGUAACCUGCCUAUUAGAGGGGGAUAACUAUUGGAAACGAUAGCUAAUACCGCAUAACAGUAUGUAACACAUGUUAGAUGCUUGAAAGAUGCAAUUGCAUCGCUAGUAGAUGGACCUGCGUUGUAUUAGCUAGUAGGUAGGGUAAAGGCCUACCUAGGCAACGAUACAUAGCCGACCUGAGAGGGUGAUCGGCCACACUGGGACUGAGACACGGCCCAGACUCCUACGGGAGGCAGCAGUAGGGAAUCUUCGGCAAUGGGGGGAACCCUGACCGAGCAACGCCGCGUGAGUGAAGAAGGUUUUCGGAUCGUAAAGCUCUGUUGUUAAGGAAGAACGAGUGUGAGAAUGGAAAGUUCAUACUGUGACGGUACUUAACCAGAAAGGGACGGCUAACUACGUGCCAGCAGCCGCGGUAAUACGUAGGUCCCGAGCGUUGUCCGGAUUUAUUGGGCGUAAAGCGAGCGCAGGCGGUUAGAAAAGUCUGAAGUGAAAGGCAGUGGCUCAACCAUUGUAGGCUUUGGAAACUGUUUAACUUGAGUGCAGAAGGGGAGAGUGGAAUUCCAUGUGUAGCGGUGAAAUGCGUAGAUAUAUGGAGGAACACCGGUGGCGAAAGCGGCUCUCUGGUCUGUAACUGACGCUGAGGCUCGAAAGCGUGGGGAGCGAACAGGAUUAGAUACCCUGGUAGUCCACGCCGUAAACGAUGAGUGCUAGGUGUUAGGUCCUUUCCGGGACUUAGUG
rnacentral:rRNA from 1 species